rnacentral:lncRNA from 1 species
UCAUAAUUGCAAGGUCCCUAAAAUUACAAAAAGAAAGAUUAAAAAACAGAAUUAUUGGGUGAAAAACAAUAACUAAAUGGAAACUCAUGGUAUAUUCUAACAUAAAGUAUACUCCUUGAUUAGAAAAAAUUAAAAAACAGAAUUAUUAGGAGUAUUGCAUAGAUUUAUGUUCUUAGUAUAUGAACUAAUUCUUGUCUACUGUAGCGGGCUCCUUUGAUAAAUUACACAUGUUGUCAAUGCACCUCCAGAUAUAAUGAACAUCGGGUUUACGAAUUUUUGGGCAAUCAUCGUCAGUAUCACAUCUAAGUGCUGUAAAGAAAAACCAUAAAAAAAAUAAUGUUACUAAAAAUAGAUAAAAGAUUGUGUGCAAACUACAAACAAAAGAAGAAAACAUGGAAAUGAUUUAAAAUGGAUCACCAUCAACAUUCUUUAUGACAAGUAAUAGGGAAAGAAAUAAAAGCACCACAUAAACAAACUUGAUGGUUUUAACCAUAUUUUUAUUUCUUUUAACUUAACAAAUAGAAUAUUAUUUGAUCAUUUACAAUGUAUAAUGUUC